rnacentral:rRNA from 1 species
AUGCUGAUCCGCGAUUACUAGCGAUUCCGACUUCACGGAGUCGAGUUGCAGACUCCGAUCCGGACUACGACGCACUUUCUGGGAUUGGCUCCCCCUCGCGGGUUGGCAACCCUCUGUAUGCGCCAUUGUAUGACGUGUGAGGCCCUACCCAUAAGGGCCAUGAGGACUUGACGUCAUCCCCACCUUCCUCCGGUUUGUCACCGGCAGUCUCAUUAGGGUGCCCAACUGAAUGUAGCAACUAAUGACAAGGGUUGCGCUCGUUGCGGGACUUAACCCAACAUCUCACGACACGAGCUGACGACAGCCAUGCAGCACCUGUGUCCAGGUUCCCUUUCGGGCACAUCGACCUCUCGGCCAACUUCCUGGCAUGUCAAGGGUAGGUAAGGUUCUUCGCGUUGCGUCGAAUUAAUCCACAUCAUCCACCGCUUGUGCGGGUCCCCGUCAAUUCCUUUGAGUUUUAAUCUUGCGACCGUACUCCCCAGGCGGUCGACUUCACGCGUUAGCUGCGGUACUAAGGAAGUCUCCUUCCCCAACACCUAGUCGACAUCGUUUAGGGCGUG